CCGGCCGUACCAUGCUGAAUAUACCGGUUCUCGUUAGAUCACCGAAGUUAAGCAUCAUUGGGCGCGGUCAGUACUUGGGUGGGUGACCACCUGGGAACACCGCGUGCCGUU
rnacentral:rRNA from 1 species